UAUUCUAGUUAAAAAAUCCACAACGUAAAGAUGAGGUCAUCGGCCGUAAAUAAUCCUAAGUUGUGUGGAUUUAAGAAUUGCUGUUUUAAUCACAAAUGCUUUCUUAUUCUUGUAAAUUGCUCAGACAAGUGCAUUUUUAUUUAGGCCUACUGCAGUGAAGUAUAUUUAAUUUAUAGUUUAAUUUUUAAAAAUGCGCUUUUGUAUAUUGUAACUAGCUUCAGUACCCGGCGUUGCCCGGGCUGAACACAGGGUGAUAUAUUGUCCACGAGUAAAGCAAAUAGAUAGCGUUAUAUUACAGUAUGUUGGACAUAGAGAAAUGACACACAAUUGCUGUUUGAAUGUCUGUGACCUAUGAUUUUCAUUUUACCCAUGGCAGUCUGUUGAACGGUGUAGAAGUUGAUGCGCUGCAGCGCCAUCUAGCGGCGAGAUAUAGCAAAAUGGAUAUUGCGAAAAUAUUCUCCGUGUUCAAUAUAUAUGUAUACCAAUUUUCAUGACGAUAGGUCAAAAGGUUUCAGUGUUUAUUAACGUCAUACAUACCAACAUCCUAUUAUAUUGUCGCGGGUUGAAAUUUUGCAGGGUUGUUGAAAUCAAAUUUAGGGACUUUACUGACGGGACUCUGGGCUGGCUGCUCUGUUCACUCGUCAGCGCAAGUGGCGUGACCAUGUAAUUGGGGCACGGGGCCGGCGCGGCGCGCUGCGGGCUUGCAGAAUUUUGUUUGUUUGUUUGGCCGCGCGCUGGCGCAGCCACGGGCCGCAGUUACUGGGGCGCGCUGUCGUAACAAGCCGCGCGGUGUGGCCUGCACAUCGGGGUAGAGGGGGGGUAGUCUUCCCAGAUGUUCUAGUUAGUUGUUUAGUAAAUUUGACUUCAAUAACGAGCUUUUGUUAUGGUAGGCGCGGCAGGGCGCGCGAAUUUAAGCGCAAGUGAGUGGUGACUCGGGGCUCACUCAGGCGGAGGCUCACUCAGGCGGAGGCUAUGCGUCUCACCUGUGGUCACGAGUUGUUAGUUCGUUCGUGAUGUAGGAAUUCAAGCUUUCGGGCGGAAGCUAUGGUCGACGCCAGAGGCCACGAGUCGUUUAAUUUAAGUUAGGUCAUAAUGUAGUCGUCAAGCUUUCGGGCGGAGGCUAUGGCCCUCGUCAGGGGUCACGCGUCAUAGUUUUUAAAAUGUAAUGUUCGUUCGGGAUUUCAAGGGCAGGAGAGGCCCCUACGUUAUUUUUUUAAAGUAAUCGAUCAAGAAAGGCUUUUCGGAAAAUGUGAGUAUGGACUUAUCUUUGUUUUAAUUUUAAGUAUUAAUUAUGAUUUGAGGUAUUCGGAAGGACUAGGGAAGUGUUUAGUGAAGUUCUCUCAUUCUCUCUCUUGUAAGGUCGUUCAAUCGUUAAGGAAGUAAAGAGAUUAUUGUUUUAAAUUGUAAUCCUGCUAUUUAAAUGUUCUUUAAAAUGAUGUUGAGUAUUUGACUUUAAGAAUAAAAUAAUUUUAAUUAAGUAUUAUGUUAUUUUGCAAAAUCUCCUUAGUUCAGCUCUCACCAGACAUCCUGUACGGGAUGACGAACCUAUGAUCCUAGGUACAGUAAAGUAUUUUAUGAAGUUAAGACUAGUUGAUGCCAAGCGAGUUGUUUCUAUGUAAAGAGCUACGAUUCUCGCCCCCCCCCUCUGAAGGUGGAUCGUGACAGAAAUGGCGGUGGCACCGGCUAGGUGUUCGUGAUAGAAAUGGUAGAGUUCGCCGGAUAGGUUCUAUUUCUGGAGAGAGAGAGAGGUAGAUUUUUAUGUUUAUUAUUAAGUUAGUUUCAGCUUCUGAUAGCAGGUUAUUAAGAGUUUACUUGAGGAGAGGAUUACGGAAUUUUAGUCUAUAGUGGAGGAAGUCUUUGAGAUUUUUUUUUUGACGUAACAGAUGUUUAUUUGAGUAUACUUGUAAGGAUAAAGUUUAUAGUGAUAAGUUGUUUUAAGUCGUUGAGUUUAUCAGGGAUUUUUACGUGAGGAGAAUACGUUAUAAUUUAAAUGAUUAAUAGAGAUAAUGCAAGUGGUUUAAUUUAAUUGAAAUUAAUUUUAAGAUUGUAGGUUAAGAGAGUUAAAAUUUAAAAUAAAGUUUUUUUCGUAAAUAGGAAUUAUUUUCAAGAGAAGUUUGUUUUGUUUUCGUGCGCGUAGGAGACGAGACGUACGAAUUAAAUCAGUCGAGGGAAGGAUAAACGUUAGAAAGGAAUUAAAGAGAAAACGAGAGUUUAUGUAAAAGAGAGUUAUAGAAUUUAUAGUGAUGUUUUGUUUUAAUUAGAAAAAUGUUGAGAGUUGUUUCAGAACGACACGUCAGUGGACGUGGCAGAGUGAACACGUGACGGGGAGGUGCUGAGACCUAGCGGAGAACGGAGGAACCGCAAGCGAGGGUUGGCGCACCUGAUGGAAUUCGGUGACGUCACGGGCUCAUACGGAGACGUGGACAGGCCGUGACCUUGUUUUGAUCAGCUGUACGGUAACUUAGCGAUAAGAAAAUAGACUAUUGGUUAAAUAAAUUUAAAUUUAAGUGUGUUUUAGGAGAAGAGGAACUUUCAGUAUAUUCCUUAAGAUGAGCUGAGCAGCAGUCCAGUUUACAAGAUGACAAGAGUUCGAGAGACAAGAUACAAGAUCACUGAAACAAGAGCCAAGACUGAAGAUUCAAGAGAAGAGAAAGCUGGCAGCCAUGGACUUACAAGUGGAGAUUAAUAAGGUCAUGUAAAGUUUUAUUUUUUUUUAUGGAAGACAGUAACUGGAGUUUUUUUUUGUUAUAAACAUUAUUUACAGAACUUUUUAGGUUAUAGUAAUGUAAUGGAACUAGUGAGUUGUGGUAGCUGUCAAAAAGAACUAAUACCUUAAGUUUAAUUUUUAAAGUUAAUUUUCUUAAUUUACAGAGGGAUUAGUAGUUUUUUUUAAACCUUAUUUAGGUUGGAAUUUCAAUACAAUAGCUUAUUAUAAAUGUGUACGAACAGUUCAAGUUCACCGUACUGAUAGGUAGGUCAGAUGAUCUUAUUGAUUUUGAUGAUUUGUUGUUUUGAGUUGAUUUUUAGGUGUUGUGAAUUAGACAAUGAAAUAGUUUUGAAAACUUAAAUUAUUUCAAGCUAAGAAAUAGUAAAUUUAAUUGUAACUCAAAGGACACCAGAAUUUAAUUUUUUUUUGAAUUAGUAAUGUUUGAAAAUUUUAUACUUUACCAGAAAGGUUAUAAACAAACAGAUCGGAUGGAACAAGGAUGCAGUAAAUCACAAUUUCAUUUAGAAUUAUUGAUUUGCUUUUGAGGUUAUGAAGGAAAAGUAGCUAUAAUUUAAAAAUUUGAAUAAAAUUGGUUUUUUUUUAUUUGUUUGAAAUAGAAAGUUUAAAAGUUAAUUAGUCAUGAUCUAGGUGGGUGAUGGGGUGGGAAUUGGCCACUCUUUUUCCCUAUAACCUCCCUAACAUGGCCUUCUAUUACAUCUAACAGAAUAGAAGAAGAAAAAGACUUAUUAUUAGUUAGAAUGUUUUUUUUAUGAAGAUACCUGAUGAACUUUUUUUUUAUUGUUGGGAAGAAUAGUAGCAAGAUUAAUCAGAUGUUUUACUCAGAAGAAGAAGAAGAAGAAGAUAAAGCAGUUUUAUGACUCGACAAGCCAGAGAUUGGUGUUUCCCCUCUGCGCUCCUAUUGACUACGUUGUUUACUCUCAUGGGAUAGCUGGUUCGGCACCAUGGAGAGAGAUUGGUGGGCAUUGUGGUUGCCCCCAGAAGAAAAGAAGAGUAGAAAGGUUAUGGGUGGGUCAUGUGAAGUGACCUUCAACCCAGUUACUUCGUGGGGACUAUUUGCUGUAUAGAGAAGAUCAAGACUCAAGAGUUAGGGAAAAUCAUUGGAGGUCAUGUUUCCCUUCCUUAAGUUUUUCCUAUCAAAUUAUUUGCCUGAUUAGAUUAUGCUAAGGGUGGGAUACUUUAUGUUAGCAGUUGAAUUAAUUAAUUUUAUUUUUUUUGUGUGUUUGCAUCCUUGCCCAUCGAUUGCAGUUUAGUAGUUAGUUUUGUAUUUGUCAGGCGUGAUGGUAAUGCCUGUUGAUGAUGUUUCAGAAUUGUAAUCUGUUCGUGAUGAGGAUGGCACAACUCCGAAGCAGAUGUGGGGAGAAGUUGUGAGCUGCCCUGGAAGCCAGUCCAGUAGCUGUUGGAGUUGAGUGGUGUUUGCUGAUGGCCAGCCCAGGGAGCUACUCUUCUCGACAACACUGACUUCGAGGAGUUGCACCAACCUUCACGAGAUAAGAGUUUAAUUAAUUGAAACACUGUAAGGACACUUAAUUUUUUUUGAAGAACGAAAGAAGUAUGGUAAUAAACGGAAACCGAAAAAAAAAAAAAAAAUAAUAA